GGAAAAGAAACUAACCAGGAUUCCCUUAGUAACGGCGAGUGAACAGGGAAAAGCCCAGCACCGAAGCCUGUGGUCGUUUGGCCCCUAGGCAAUGUGGUGUUCAGGUUAGCUCGCGAAGAUGCUGCUCCACCCUAAGUCCUAUAAUGAGUAAGGUUACUCGGACAUGGCCCAAUGAGGGUGAAAGGCCCGUGGG
rnacentral:rRNA from 1 species